ACGUGAGGCUCAAUGAUGGGCCCUCUAUCGAGUAAUUGAUGGAGUGCACCUGGCUAUAUCGGCGAAACCUACCCUCAUGAACUGAGUACGGCAACGCCGAGGAAAGACCUUGAAUGGGAAUCCGUAGAGACUAUACGCCAGGAACCCAUUAGAUAUGUGAUUAUGAUUAUCUAACGGGUUAAGACAUAGUCCGGUACUCCAGGAAACUGGAGA
rnacentral:ncRNA from 1 species